rnacentral:rRNA from 1 species
AAGCCGAUAGGUGAAGCCGGAGCGAAAGCGAGUCUUAACAGGGCGAGAAGUUGCGUGCGGUAGACCCGAAACCUUAGCGAUCUAUCCAUGGUCAGGUUGAAAGGCGGGUAACACCGCUCGGAGGACCGAACUCACUAGGGUUGAAAAACCUAGGGGAUGAACUGUGGAUAGGAGUGAAAAGGCUAAUCAAGCUGGGAGAUAGCUGGUUCUCCCCCGAAAAUAUAUUGAGGUAUAGCCUCGAGUGAAUUGCGCCGGAGGUAAAGCACUGAAUGGGCUAGGGGUCCUACCAGAUUACCAAACCCAAUCAAACUCUGAAUGCCGGUGACAACUGCUCGGGAGUCAGGCAGCGGGAGAUAAGUUCCGUUGCCGAGAGGGAAAGAGCCCAGAUCGUCGGCUAAGGUCCCAAAGUCUGAGCUAAGUGUGAAAGGAUGUGGAAACGCACUGACAACCAGGAGGUUGGCUUAGAAGCAGCCAUCCUUUAAAGAAAGCGUAAUAGCUCACUGGUCAAGCGAGUCUGCGCCGAAAAUACAACGGGGC